AGUGAACGCUGGCGGUAGGCCUAACACAUGCAAGUCGAACGGCAGCACAGUAAGAGCUUGCUCUUACGGGUGGCGAGUGGCGGACGGGUGAGGAAUACAUCGGAAUCUACUUUUUCGUGGGGGAUAACGUAGGGAAACUUACUCUAAUACCGCAUACGACCUACGGGUGAAAUCAGGGGAUCUUCGGACCUUUCGCGAUUGAAUGAGCCGAUGUCGGAUUAGCUAGUUGGCGGGGUAAAGGCCCACCAAGGCGACGAUCCGUAGCUGGUCUGAGAGGAUGAUCAGCCACACUGGAACUGAGACACGGUCCAGACUCCUACGGGAGGCAGCAGUGGGGAAUAUUGGACAAUGGGCGCAAGCCUGAUCCAGCCAUACCGCGUGGGUGAAGAAGGCCUUCGGGUUGUAAAGCCCUUUUGUUGGGAAAGAAAAGCAGCAGGUUAAUACCCCGCUGUUCUGACGGUACCCAAAGAAUAAGCACCGGCUAACUUCGUG
rnacentral:rRNA from 1 species